rnacentral:rRNA from 1 species
AGUAUAAAUAGUUAACUUUGAAACUGCGAAUGGCUCAUUAUAUCAGUUAUAGUUUAUUUGAUGAAGAAUACUAAUUGGAUAACCGUAGUAAUUCUAGAGCUAAUACAUGUMUAAAGUCUUGUAGACUGCAUUUAUUAGAAUGAAAACCAUAGGUUUCGGCCUAUUCGUGAGUAAUAAUAACUAAUCAUAUCGUAUGCUUAUGUAACGAUGUGUCUUUCAAGUUUCUGCCCUAUCAGCUUUCGAUGGUAGUGUAUUGGACUACCAUG